UUCGCCCUUUUAAAUCCUCUCUGGGAUAGCGGCAGCCGAUUCUGUGUGAGUCUCACGUUCCCCAGUGACAUUCUGCUACUUGUGCUGGCUUCCUGUCUGUGCCAGUGGGGCAAUUCAGGCAAUAUGUCAACCCUUGUGUUGUGUGUAGUGUUGUGUAGUUUUGUGUUGUUGUGUACUUGUGUAGUGGUGUUGUGUAGUUAUUGUUGUUGUGUAGUUG